UACGGAGGGUGCGAGCGUUGUCCGGAUUUACUGGGCUUAAAGGGUGCGCAGGUGGCCCGGUCAGUCAGUGGUGAAAUGCCGCCGCUCAACGGGCGAACUGCCAUUGAUACUGCCUGGCUUGAGAGGAGUGGAGGCCGCCGGAACGGACGGUGUAGCGGUGAAAUGCAUAGAUAUCGUCAAGAACGCCGAUUGCGAAGGCAGGUGGCUGGGCUAGGUCUGACACUGAGGCACGAAAGCGUGGGGAGCGAACAGG
rnacentral:rRNA from 1 species